UUUUUUUUUUUUUUUUUGGGCUGUUGGAGGGCAGUGGAGCUCUCGAGAAGAACUCAGUCAUUGAAGUCCAUGUCAUUUCCACUGUAAGGCUAACGAUCUUGAGAGUGUCAGAUGACCAACAGGCUGGGCAGUUGGCAGGAUAGGGGAAGGUCUUCCCUGGCUUAGCCCUGUGCCAGGAGCCCUGCCCGGGCUGCUAACAUGCACAGCACCUGUUUUCUCUUGUCCCUCCCACCCCCUUGGUUUAAUUCUUCCUGCCUUGGUGCUUCACCUGGACUGUUUAGAUUUUUGUUUUUGUUUUGCCCUAAUCAAAAGGUGAAAAAAAAUCCCCUCUGUGCUAUUUAUAUUUAGCAAGCAAAUUAUCACUAAUUUUUAAGUAUAGACCACCCUCUGGGUUCCAUCAAAUUUGGUUCACCUCUACUGCGCUUAGGGUCAUAUGAAUAACAUGUAAGGAGGUGAAAUGUAGUUCAGAACUUACUGAAAACCUACCUAAAAACUGGAAUUGGGCAAAUCACCCUUUUCAUGUGCAGAGUGUAUGCUUGCCACAGCGGCCCUCAACUUUUAUUUUCCUGUGCUUAAAAAAAAAAAUCUAAAUCUGUUAUCAACGACAUAAAAUUUUGAAAAAGGAUUGAUUUUUACCAAUACAAUUAGGACACAUUAGUUGUCACAUAGUAUCUAAAUACAAUUAGGACACAUCAGUUGUCACAUAGUAUCCAAAGCUAUUUUUGAGUCUAGGGCUUCUCUGUUUCAACUUUACAGUGAGACAGGACAAAAAGUAAAUAAGCCUUCCAAUAUAUCAGACAAGAGGUCUGGUCAUGUAGCUCAGUAGGAGAGAACUUGCCUACCAUGCACAAGGUCCUGGGUUCAACCCCCAGUACCACAGAAACAACAACAGAAAAGAGUGGUGGGUAUUUAGAGGGCAGAUCCCUGAAGCCCCUCUUGUUGACACAAUGCUGGUUACUCCUUGGGAAAAGUUAGCCCUUCUUCCUUAUCCUCUGGACUUGCUUCCUCAUCUACCCGAGACCUCCUCACAUCUACUGUGAGGCCUUAUCCUCAUGGGUGUCCCUUAAUUUAGAAGACUUCUUAUCUGAAGUGAGACUAAUCUCUGCUUAGAAACACAGUUGAGAUCAAGAGUUUAUGUCCCUAGAAACUCCGUUCCUGAGAAACGUGGUAGCGACUAAAACUGUUUUAGUCAUCGUGACUCAAAUGCCUAUAACAAGUGCGAGCCAGCAGGGCUCGGCCGCUUUCAAUAUUUAAAUCAAAUAUGCCCGUUAAAUACAUGGAAAUUAUUGACACUUGGACCCUGAGACUACUUACUCUCUGCUUACAGCUAGCAAGCCGCUUUUAUUUCCUGGAGGACUUAAGUAAUCACUUUGCUCCGCUUUGACCCCUGCCUGCAGUGUCAUCCAAGUGUCAGGAUGGUGACGCUUAAUGUGUGGCUGAGUCUGACCUACAGUGCACUUAUUC
rnacentral:lncRNA from 1 species